UUUCCUUUAACAAAACAGAAGACAAAUUAUCUGGAUUUGUUGACAAUGGCACAAGCACUGAAAAAGAUUUUUGCGACCAUGUGCUAGUUUUUAUGGUGCGAGGUAUAUUUAAAAAAUAUAAACAGCACUUGGCCUACUAUUUUUGCAGUGGAAGCACGAAAACGUUAGUAUUAAAAGAGCAAAUUGAAAAAUUAAUAAUUAAACUCCAAGAGACUGGCUUAAAAGUCGUGGCCACAGUGUGUGACCAAGGCACUUCAAAUGUGGCAGCCAUCAAUGCCCUAAUUAAACAAACUAAAGAAAGUUAUUUGAGAAAAAAUGAAAUUAAUUUAGAGGGGACAUUUGAAAUUGGAAAUGCUCAAAUUUUUCCCAUAUAUGACCCACCACACUUAAUCAAGGGUAUUAGGAACAAUUUAAUAACAAAAAACCUAAAAUACUCUUUGCAUGGGAAAGAACGCACUGCGAAAUGGAGCCAUAUUGUGGCAUUAUAUAAUAAGUCACCUGCAUAUCAAGGCGUAAAAUUAGUACCAAAAUUAACGGCUCAACAUGUUAUGCCCGACUUGAUACCUAAAAUGCGGGUGAAGAAUUGCACUCAGGUCUUCAGUAAAUCUGUUGGAGCAGCACUUGGAUUUAUGGCAGAACUUGGAGCUAUUGAAAAAGAAGCGACGGAUACUGCUGACCUUUUGAUGCUUUUCGACGACAUUUUUGACAGCGUGAAUGGGAGUUACAGCAAUAUAAAAGGCGGCAAAAUUUAUAGAGCAGCUGUAACUCCCACAUCACCACACCACAAGUUGUGGAACGAAAGUUUAAAAGUUUUAAAAAGUAUGAAAUUCGAAAAUGCUCAAAAUAAAGGUGUAGUGCCUUCUCUAUCCAGCUGGAUAAAAACGAUAGAGAACUUUAAAAACUUAGCAAAAUUUCUGCAAACAAAAGGAAUAACGUCUCUAUUGCUGCGAAACAUAAACCAAGAUCCAUUAGAGAAUUUCUUUGGCUCAGUACGUGCACAUGGUUGCAGUAAUAUUAUGCCAACGGCCUCUGCAUUUGAGAGUGCCUUCAAAACUUUGUUAAUCAAUAAUAUUUCGUCUCCACACUCAGUUGGCGCAAAUUGUGAAAAAGAUGACAGUUUUUGUCUCACCACGUUAAAAAAAUAUUUGUCAAUUGAAAAAAAAGACAAUGGCCCAACUGACUGUGAAAACGAAAUUGACAGUGCCCACAUAUGUAUGACACUCUUAAAUACAGAGGAUUUAUUAAAAAGCACACUGCCAAUACACAUGGUAAAGAGCGCAGCAAUAGGAUAUUGCAGUGGUUGGAUAGCACAACAAGCAAAGAAAAAUAUUUUUAAAAAUUGUAAAAUUUGCCUCAAAGCCUUAGAAACAGAGGUUCCAGAAAGUUUUCAUAAAUUUAUAAAAAUUAAAGAAUUUGAAAACAAACAAUGGCUGUGCUAUCCAACUCGUGCACUUUUUGAUUUUUUCGCUCAAGUGGAACAGGUUUGCCAUGAAAUUUUAAACACAGAUUGUAAUCGAAAAAAUAUACUCACAUAUUUAAGACUAAUCGUAAAUGUAAAUAUAAAUCUUGUAUUUAUAACUUGUUCACAACACGAAGAAAACCUAAAAAAAUUUUUGAUUAAUAAAAGUACAAUGUUUUUCAUAAAUAAUUGGUGCAAGGAGAUAAAUAAUGUCCUCACAGGAAAAACACAUUUGAUGGAUACAAAUAAUUUAAUUAUUAAAAAAGCUCUCCGUCACUACACCAAAAACAAAGGCCGAAAACGUAAUACAAAAACGAAUGUAAUAGUUAGUGUUUAGAAUAUUUUGUAAACAUUAAUCCCCCUUACCACGGUAAUACUAUCUAUACCUUACUAAUAAAAAGUUACACAGUUGUUGAACACUGUUUUAAAAUUACACUAGUUUAGGAGCCAGGGCUUCAAUAUAAAAUGUUACAGUGUAUUACAUCAAUAAAAAUAUUCAUAAUUAAUCUUAUUCUUAUUCUUAAAAUGUCAUUUCCAUACAAAACGUCACACUGUUCAACGAGCGUGUAUGUUUAUUAAGUAAUUUUUGUGUCAUCAGCAUAUAGUAAUAUGUUGGAGUUACUAAAACAUUAUACAUACGUCAUUUGUUGUAUCAUUAUGUUUGUAUUAUCUUUGAAUUAUAAAUAAAAUUAUAAUAUAGAA